CCUACGGGAGGCAGCAGUAGGGAAUAUUGGGCAAUGGAGGCAACUCUGACCCAGCCAUGCCGCGUGCAGGAUGAAGGCGUUAUGCGUUGUAAACUGCUUUUAUAUAGGAAGAAAGAGUUCUUGCGAGAACAGUUGACGGUACUAUAUGAAUAAGCACCGGCUAACUCCGUGCCAGCAGCCGCGGUAAUACGGAGGGUGCAAGCGUUGUCCGGAUUUAUUGGGUUUAAAGGGUGCGUAGGCGGUUUAUUAAGUCAGUGGUGAAAGACGGUCGCUCAACGAUUGCAGUGCCAUUGAUACUGGUAGACUUGAGUGAGAUUGAGGUAGCUGGAAUGGAUAGUGUAGCGGUGAAAUGCAUAGAUAUUAUCCAGAACACCAAUUGCGUAGGCAAGUUACUAAGUCUCAACUGACGCUGAGGCACGAAAGUGUGGGUAUCAAACAGGAUUAGAUACCCUGGUAGUCCACACUGUAAACGAUGAUAACUAACUGUUGGCUUUCGGGUCAGUGGUACAGAGAAAUCGUUAAGUUAUCCAACCUGGGGAGUUACGCGGCAACGGUUGAAACUUCAAAUUGAAUUGACGG
rnacentral:rRNA from 1 species